rnacentral:tRNA from 1 species
CGGGGUGUGGCUCAGGUGGUAGAGCGCUGCUUUAGGGAAGCAGAGGUCGCAGGUUCAAGUCCUGUCACUCCGA